rnacentral:rRNA from 1 species
CGGAUCGGAGUCUGCAACUCGACUCCGUGAAGCUGGAUUCGCUAGUAAUCGCGCAUCAGCCAUGGCGCGGUGAAUACGUUCCCGGGCCUUGUACACACCGCCCGUCAAGCCAUGGGAGCCGGGGGUACCUGAAGUCCGUAACCGCGAGGAUCGGCCUAGGGUAAAACUGGUGACUGGGGCUAAGUCGUAACAAGGUAUC